rnacentral:rRNA from 1 species
UCAGGCCUAACACAUGCAAGUCGAGCGAUGAAACCCUUCGGGGUGGAUUAGCGGCGGACGGGUGAGUAACACGUGGGUAACCUGCCUCAAAGAGGGGAAUAGCCUCCCGAAAGGGAGAUUAAUACCGCAUAAUAUGUUUUAAUCGCAUGAUUGAAACAUCAAAGGAUUUUCUUCGGAGAUUCCACUUUGAGAUGGACCCGCGGCGCAUUAGCUAGUUGGUGAGGUAACGGCCCACCAAGGCAACGAUGCGUAGCCGACCUGAGAGGGUGAUCGGCCACAUUGGAACUGAGACACGGUCCAGACUCCUACGGGAGGCAGCAGUGGGGAAUAUUGCGCAAUGGGGGAAACCCUGACGCAGCAACGCCGCGUGAAUGAUGAAGGCCUUCGGGUUGUAAAGUUCUGUCUUCUGGGACGAUAAUGACGGUACCAGAGGAGGAAGCCACGGCUAACUACGUGCCAGCAGCCGCGGUAAU